rnacentral:lncRNA from 1 species
ACUUAAGAAGAAGAGUAGCAGAUGCCAGAAAGUUGCAGCAGCAAUAAGCAAGUGGUGCAGGUGGAGUUAGAGAGUUCUGUUAAGGAGAAUAAUGUUCAGGAUAUAGAAACUGUUAAGUGAUUGUUGUUUCUUGAUUUGAUUUUGAUGAGCCCAAAACACUUGAGUAUAUUUCAUAUUAUACUAAUGAAUUCAAAUGAGUGUUUUUUAGGGAAUAUAUUGCUAUAUACAUUAGGAUAACUUAGAAAAUGGUUAAGGAUUAUUGAGACCAGUUAUUAUAAUGUUUGGAACCAUUUUUACCUUGACCUGCACUCGAGUCGACUCCGGCAUAAAAGAUUUUAUCUAGCACGACCUCGAAUCGAC